rnacentral:rRNA from 1 species
GGUGAACGCUGGCGGCGUGCCUAACACAUGCAAGUCGAGCGAUUUACUUCGGUAAAGAGCGGCGGACGGGUGAGUAACGCGUGGGUAACCUGCCCUGUACACACGGAUAACAUACCGAAAGGUAUGCUAAUACGAGAUAAUAUACUUUUAUCGCAUGGUAGAAGUAUCAAAGCUUUUGCGGUACAGGAUGGACCCGCGUCUGAUUAGCUAGUUGGUAAGGUAACGGCUUACCAAGGCGACGAUCAGUAGCCGACCUGAGAGGGUGAUCGGCCACAUUGGAACUGAGACACGGUCCAAACUCCUACGGGAGGCAGCAGUGGGGAAUAUUGCACAAUGGGCGAAAGCCUGAUGCAGCAACGCCGCGUGAGCGAUGAAGGCCUUCGGGUCGUAAAGCUCUGUCCUCAAGGAAGAUAAUGACGGUACUUGAGGAGGAAGCCCCGGCUAACUACGUGCCAGCCGCCGCCGUAACAC